UAUAGCUGGUAUAUACAGUGUUCAAGAUUCAGUAUUGCAAUCCAUUUUGUCUUUGGCAUGCAUUAACCUAAAGGAAAACAACAUUCUUUUCUCUAGAUACAUCCUUGGACCUCCCUGGAAUUUGUCAGUACCCCCAAGAAAAUGAAGGCUAAUCAUCUGACCAUGCAGGGGUGGAGGAAGAAGACAAACCUAGGGACAUGGUCAGACCAGACAUGGAGGAUAGCUGUGGAGAGGCUUGAAAAGCUUUGUCUUCUGAGCAGCUCAUUCUUCACUUGGGCAGAAUUUACCGAUUGUCCUUACAAGGGGAGACAGUGAGAAACUUCAAAGGAGAGAGACAUCUUGGGACCCUGAAGCUGUUUAUCUUUUGAUUGACGGACUAUAGCCUAAUAAUCCUGGGCAUGCCCUCAGCAAUCUCACCACAGCUGCAGUGCCUUGGAAAAAGAGGAAAAGCUUCAGCAAGCUCAAAGCCAAAAAAAACCCAAGAUAUAUUUGAGUCCUUUUCUUCCUUAGAUAGGUCUUCCAAAUGAAGUCAUUAAUCCCUGGAACAUAUAUCCCAGUUUUUCCAUAGCAUGUUGUCGUGCUUUACAUACCAAGCAUCCCAAACACCACACAAACACCUGCCUAGGGAUAAGCAGAGCCCUUAGAGUUACCUCCUGUUAGUAGAGGUGUGUUCUUGACUCAGUGACUGCAGCACAUAUGACAGGUAAGUCCAAAAGCAUCACAUCAUUAUCAUUCCUUAUUAAAGCAAUGAGACUGCA